UGCGUUCCUUGUCUUUGAGGCCGACUGAUUGGUCACUGUUAUGUAUCUUGUGCUUGUCUAGCCGAUCUUGAGUUAAUCUCUCCUUCUCUGUCCACUUCCACGAUAAAACCCAUCUGCGCAACAGCUGACGACCUCUGUGCAUUUCAGCGUAGCGCGCAUCCCCUCCUCAGUUCUUGUGACAUUUUUUUAGCGUCGUGAACGUGGCUUGGUUUUUUUUGCGCCCUGGUUUUGAUUUGACAUCAUUCCAUGGACCAAAACUCACCUCACCAUUAGUGCGUCCAUUUCUUCUUCUUCUUCACCUUCUGCCUAGUCCUUCAUUUUAUUUUUUUCCAGCUCCUCCACUGCUCCUGUCUGUGCCUGUGGUGAAGUCAACACACAAACAUGCACACAAACAAAUACAAACACCCCCCUUCAUAAACAAAAGACAUUCAUCCUUUUGGUUGUUUCCCUCUCAACACUCUCCACUACCAACCACCCCCCAUACCUUUUUUCGGAGCUAGCCUGCGUUGUUUUUUUCCAUUUGCGGGGUGUCGGUCGUGUCCGUACUCCUCACCCUGUUUGUGUCGUCUGCAGCCGAACGGGAGCGGCCAGAGCAAAAUGCCGGGCUCCUUCUUGCUGCCUCCACCCCCCCCUGUGGCGCGUCCAGUGCCCCUCCCAAUGCCAGACUCUAAAUCCAGCAGCACGCCCCCCGAUGGUGGACUCACCUCACCCACAUCUCCGUCAUACUCCACGCCAGGCUCCACAGCUCCCAACAGGUUUGUCAGCAUCGGAUCACGGGACAACAACUUUCUGAACAUACCCCAGCAGACGCAGGUGAUUCUUACUCGGUCAUAUUCAAAACUAACCUUUGAGUGUUUAAAAUCAUGCAUCUUAACACGUUAGGCUGCUGCUCCCCUCCUGACUUUCCUCGUUUCCCAUGAUGCUCUCUGUUCUGCGGUGUCGGGCCCAUCUGGAGCGGGUCUGCGAUAACUGGAGCUGAUCGGCGUGGUGUAGUUGAUUUGAGCGUUGCGAAUGUGCGGCCUCCUCCAUCACCCAGUACACUUUAGUCAUUAAUGUGUAAAGCACACCCGCCCCGGGGCGGCUCCCUGCUCCUCAACACAUGGUGACCAUCUGAAGCCGCUAACUCACCCGCUCUCACCUCCUCCCUCUGCUGGUCGGCCUCUCUGGAUUUGACCAUUUAUUUCCCUCUCUUUCUGCUUAACCGUUCCUCAUUUCUACCUUCUUUAACUAAUUUCUCGACUCGCUAUCACCCUCUGCUGGUGACUCCUGUUUUUUUUUUGUCUUCUCUCCUGUCAGUGACUUCGCAUUUGGCACAUUUUAUUCUAAAUUUUAAAAGGCAGAUAAAGAACUUUUUGUUUUAGUCCUCUCAGAGAGAAACUGCUUGAGUGUGCAAAUUAGCAGCAAGUUAUCAUAAGCAAACGUUUUGCGAAGAUUCGUUAUUUGCAGUUGCACUUAAUUAUUCAGUUGUUUUUAUUUUCAAAAUGUGCUUUGAGAAAUGAAUUAGUUGUAAUUCAU
rnacentral:lncRNA from 1 species